GGACCCCACUGCUAUCGAGAUGGGACUAAGGUAUGCUAGUCGAACGACCAGAACUAUGUCUGGAAGUGGCACACUGCUCAGUAACACGUAGCUAACCUACCCUUAGGACGUGGAUACCCCCGAGAAAUUGGGGUUAAUCCGCGAUAGAUGUAAUGUCCUGGAAUGGUAUUACGUCUAAAGGUAUUUCAUACAUGUUUGAAAUAUGCCUAAGGAUGGGGCUGCGGCCGAUCAGGCUGUUGGUGAGGUAAUGGCUCACCAAACCUUUGACCGGUACGGGCCAUGAGAGUGGUAGCCCGGAGAUGGACACUGAGACAAGGGUCCAGGCCCUAAGGGGCGCAGCAACCGCGAAACCUCCACAAUGCACU
rnacentral:rRNA from 1 species